CAUCAGCGGAAGCAGAUGUGGACUGUACAGAAGUGAGAAUGCCGGAAUGAGUAGCGAGAAUUGUGUGAGAAUCAUAAUGGCCGAAAAUCUAAGGUUUCCGGGGGUAGGGUCGUCCACCCCGGGUUAGCCGGGAGCUAAGGCGAGGCCGCGAGGCGUAGUCGAUGCACAAACGGUAGAGAUUCCGUUGCCGCCAGAUCUUAAGUAACUGACACGAGGGUAGAGUUCAACCCGGCCGAUGGUAGAGCCGGGCGAAAGGGACUGAAAAAUAGUAGGGAAGUGAACGAAGCCAGCGGCGAGAAAAGGUUAUGUAUGAAAUCAGGCGCCCGUACCGCAAACCGACACAGGUAGAUGAGGAGAGGAUCCUAAGGCCAGCGGGAGAAGGGUUGUUAAGGAACUCGGCAUAUUGACCCCGUAACUUCGGAAGAAGGGGUGCCUCCGCAAGGAGGCCGCAGUGAAAAGGCCCAGGCAACUGUUUAUCAAAGACACAGGUUUCUGCAAAAGCGAAAGCUGAAGUAUAGGAGCUGACGCCUGCCCGGUGCUGGAAGGUCAAGGGGAUCGCUUAGCGCAAGCGAAGGCGAGAACUUAAGCCCCAGUAAACGGCGGCCGUAACGAUAACGGUCCUAAGGUAGCGAAAUUCCUUGCCAGGUAAGUUCUGGCCUGCACGAAUGGCGUAAUGAUCUGGGCACUGUCUCAACAGCCCGCCCGGCGAAAUUGUAGUACCGGUGAAGAUGCCGGUUUCCUGCGACUAGACGGAAAGACCCCAUGGAGCUUUACUGUAGUCUGAUACUGAAAUUUGGUUCAUUAUGCACAGGAUAGGUGGGAGACAGAGAAACCCGGGCUUUGGCUUGGGCGGAGUCGCCGUUGGGAUACCACUCUUGAUGAACCAAGUUUCUAACCUGCUCCCGUGAUCCGGGAGGGGGACAAUGUCAGAUGGGCAGUUUGACUGGGGCGGUCGCCUCCAAAAGAGUAACGGAGGCGUUCAAAGGUUGGCUCAGCGCGGACGGAAAUCGCGCAAUGAGUAUAAACGUAUAAGCCAGCCUAACUGUGAGACCUACAAGUCGAGCAGUAACGAAAGUUGGAGUUAGUGAUCAGGUGGUAGUGAGUGGAAAUGCCAUCGCUUAACGGAUAAAAGCUACCCUGGGGAUAACAGGCUGAUCUCCCCCAAGAGUUCACAUCGACGGGGAGGUUUGGCACCUUGAUGUCGGCUCAUCACAUCCUGGAGCUGGAGAAGGUUCCAAGGGUUCGGCUGUCCGCCGAUUAAAGUGGUACGCGAGCUGGGUUCAGAACGUCGUGAGACAGUUCGGUCCCUAUCUGUCGUGGGCGUUGGAUAUUUGAGAAGGGCUGACCUUAGUACGAGAGGACCGGGUCGGACGCACCUCCUGUGCACCAGUUGUCCUGCCAAGGGCAUAGCUGGGUAGCGGCGUGCGGUUUUGAUAAACGCUGAAGGCAUCUAAGCGUGAAGCAUGCUUCAAGAUGAGAUAUCCCAUCAUUUCAAAUGAGUAAGGUCACUUGCAGACUACAAGUUGAUAGGUCGGGUGUGUAAGCACGGUAACGUGUUCAGCUAACCGAUACUAAUUGACCGAGGGCUUG
rnacentral:rRNA from 1 species